rnacentral:rRNA from 1 species
GUACGGGAGGCAGCAGUGAGGAAUAUUGCACAAUGGGCGAAAGCCUGAUGCAGCAACGCCGCGUGCGGGACGAAGGCCUUCGGGUUGUAAACCGCUUUUCUGAGGGACGAGCAAGGACGGUACCUCAGGAAUAAGUCUCGGCUAACUACGUGCCAGCAGCCGCGGUAAAACGUAGGAGGCGAGCGUUAUCCGGAUUUACUGGGCGUAAAGCGCACGCAGGUGGCCGUGUAAGUCGGACAUGAAAGCUCCUGGCUUAACUGGGAGAGGUGGUUCGAAACUGCAUGGCUUGAGGUUGGGAGAGGGACGUGGAAUUCCCGGUGUAGUGGUGGAAUGCGUAGAUAUCGGGAGGAACACCAGUGGCGCAAGCGGCGUCCUGGCCCACACCUGACGCUGAGGUGCGAAAGCGUGGGGAGCAAACAGGAUUAGAUACCCCGGU